ACCUGGGUGGCUUAGUUGGUUAAGCAUCUGACUUCAGAUCAGGUCAUGAUCUUACAGUUCAUGGGUUCGAGCCCCACGUUGGGCU
rnacentral:tRNA from 1 species